UCCAGACUCCUACGGGAGGCAGCAGUGAGGAAUAUUGGUCAAUGGGCGAGAGCCUGAACCAGCCAAGUCGCGUGAGGGAAGACGGUCCUAUGGAUUGUAAACCUCUUUUGCCGGGGAGCAAAAAGCGGUACGUGUACCGCAUCGAGAGUACCCGGAGAAAAAGCAUCGGCUAACUCCGUGCCAGCAGCCGCGGUAAUACGUAGGGGGCGAGCGUUAUCCGGAUUCACUGGGUGUAAAGGGAGCGUAGACGGCCGUGCAAGCCAGGAGUGAAAGCCCGGGGCCCAACCCCGGGACUGCUCUUGGAACUGUGCGGCUGGAGUGCGGGAGGGGCAGGCGGAAUUCCUGGUGUAGCGGUGAAAUGCGUAGAUAUCAGGAGGAACACCGGCGGCGAAGGCGGCCUGCUGGACCGCGACUGACGUUGAGGCUCGAAAGCGUGGGGAGCGAACAGGAUUAGAUACCCUUGUAA
rnacentral:rRNA from 1 species